AUGCGCACCGCCAUCACGUCCGCCAACGCCUCCUCCCCCGUCCGCUUCUCGUGGGACGCGGUGCGGAAUGCCAACUACCACGUCCCCGGGUACUCCUGGAUGCUCUACUUCGCGGAGCUGCAGAAGGACGCCGUGCGCGGGUUCUACAUCACCACCAACGGCGAGCUCUCGUACCCGCACGUCAUGACGCCGGCGUACCUGGCAAUGGACGCCAUCUUCCAGCGCAAACCUGUCCAUGGCUUCGACCGGUACGACAUCUCGCUGAACGCCACCGCGAACUCGACGCUCCCGCCGAUCAUCAACGCCGUCGAGGUCUUCUCGGUCCUCCCUACCACCGGCGUAGCCACGGCCGCUCAGGAUGUUUCUGCCGUCACGGCGGUCAGAGACAAGUACCGGGUGAAAAAGAACUGGAUGGGGGAUCCCUGCGCGCCGAGGAAAUUCGCGUGGGAUGGAUUGAGUUGCAACUACGCUGUUUCGGGACCACCAACUGUCAAAGGCUUGAAUCUGUCUUCAAUGGGUCUGAGUGGCAAUAUCUCGUCUUCUUUUGGGAAUCUCAAAGGUUUACAAUACUUGGAUUUGUCUCGCAACAACCUCACCGGCUCCAUUCCUGACACACUUUCACAAUUGUCAUCGCUUACACUUCUUGAUUUGACAGGAAACCGGCUUACAGGAGAAAUUCCUUCCAUGCUUCUGAAAAGAAGCCAAGAUGGCUUCUUAACUCUGAGAUAUGAUAACAAUCCGGACCUCUGCAGCAAUGGCAAUUCUUGUGUUCCUCCAAAGAAGAAGGGCAAUUCAAUGGUUCCUGUCUAUGUUGCUAUUCCAAUAGUUGCAGUACCCGUGAUUGUGUUGCUUUUAGUGCUGCUCAUUUGCAUGCGAAGGAGAAAGCAAGGAACAGCAAGCAACAGCAUCAAGCCGCAGAAUGAGACACGCUUUACCCCGUCGCACUCUUGGAAUAGAAACAAAGACAGCUCACUGCAACUGAACAACCAGCGGUUCACGUACGAGGAAAUAAAGGUCAUAACGAACAACUUCCAGCGAGUGAUCGGCCAAGGAGGGUUUGGUAAAGUCUAUGAUGGAUUCUUGGAGAAUGGCACCCAGGUGGCUGUCAAGCUUCGAUCUGAGUCAUCAGCUCAAGGUGUACAAGAGUUCCUGGUCGAGGCUCAGACAUUGGCUAAGAUUCAUCACAAAAAUCUUGUAACCAUGAUUGGCUACUGCAACGAUAGAGAUCACCUAGCCCUCGUGUACGAGUACAUGUCCGAAGGAGCCCUACAUGAACAUCUGAGAGGCAGACACCACGACACAACAUUAACCUGGGCACAGAGACUUUGUAUUGCACAGGAAUCCGCACAAGUUCAUGCCGGUGCACACAAGGGCUGCAAUCCACCCCUCAUCCAUAGGGACGUGAAAACAUCAAACAUCUUGCUAAAUGCGAACCUUGAGGCCAAGAUUGCCGAUUUCGGCCUACUCAAGGCAUUCAAUUGCGACGAUGAUACCCAUGUGUCCACAGCCAGGUUGGUUGGCACGCAUGGUUACAUUGCCCCUGAGUACCUAACAACAUUGCAGCCGACUAAUAAGACGGAUGUGUAUAGUUUUGGAGUAGUGUUGUUGGAAAUAGUCACGGGCCAACCUCACAUCUUGAGUAAUCCGGAACCUUCAAGCAUCACCAAGUGGGUCCAGGAACGGCUUUCCCAGGGAAACAUAGAGGGUGUGGUGGAUGCGCGCAUGCAUGGAGAGCACGACAUCAACAGCGUGUGGAAAGCAGCGGGCACUGCUCUCAAGUGUACUGAGCAGACACCGGCGCAACGGCCCACAAUGACCGAGGUGGUGGUACAGCUGCAAGAGUGCCUCGAGCUUGAGACUGCGCGCUGCAGCGGUGGCAGCACAAAUCCUAAGUUUUACAUGGCCAGUAGCAGCGACCCAUUCUCAAGUUAUAAUCCAUACGCCACCAACCAGUCUGCUAGUGUGAGCCAUAGCAAUGAUGUAUUUGAGGUGGAGCGUUUAGGCAGGGCUCCAACUAUGACUACUGGUCCUGUCGCCAGGUGA
rnacentral:rRNA from 1 species